AAUUGAGGAGUCCAAACCUAGAGGAACUGAAAAUUGUAGACCUCCAAGGCUCUCUAGAGGCUCAUGAACAAAGACUUAUUGAAAGAUCUUUGGAAAAACCUGCUGAACAAGCAUUGCAAGCAUACACCUCAAGGAGAGGAGGAUAUGGUAGCAAGGGUGGACUAAGGGGCAGAGGCAGAGGUAGAGAACAAAGAAGAGGCAAUCACACACUUUGAAAAGAUAUCUGAGGCAAGAACAGCAAAGGAAGCAUGGGAUAUUUUAGAAAAGAGCAAUGAAGGUGCAGAACAAUUGAAUAAGGUAAGAUUGCAAACCAUGAGGAGGCAAUAUGAGUUGAUGCAAAUGGAAUCCAGUGAGAAAAUUGCACAAUUCUUCAACCGAAUCAUUAGCCACACUAAUGCUAUGAAAGCUAGUGGUGAGAAGAUGACAGAUCAAGCCAUAGUGGAGAAGAUAUUGAGGACACUAAGCCCCAGAUUUGACCAUUUAGUUGUUGAUAUUGAGGAGUCCAAGAACUUAGAGGAACUGAAAAUUGUAGACCUCCAAGGCUCUAUAGAGGCUCAUGAACAAAGACUUAUUGAAAGAUCUUUGGAAAAACCUGCUGAACAAGCAUUGCAAGCAUACACCUCAAGGAGAGGAGGAUAUGGUAGCAAGGGUGGACUAAGGGGCAGAGGCAGAGGUAGAGAACAAAGAAGAGGCAAUCACAGAUUCUCUCAAACCUCAGAUCAAGAAAGGGUUGAGGCUGACCAAGCAGAACAGGCAACAAGAAGGGGUGAAAAUCAGAGAUGGCAGAACAACAAGAAAAAGGUUGAUAGGAGGAAGUUGAAGUGCUUCAACUGUAACAAAAUUGG
rnacentral:lncRNA from 1 species